AUUGAACGCUGGCGGCAGGCCUAACACAUGCAAGUCGAGCGGAUGAAGGGAGCUUGCUCCUGGAUUCAGCGGCGGACGGGUGAGUAAUGCCUAGGAAUCUGCCUGGUAGUGGGGGAUAACGUCCGGAAACGGGCGCUAAUACCGCAUACGUCCUGAGGGAGAAAGUGGGGGAUCUUCGGACCUCACGCUAUCAGAUGAGCCUAGGUCGGAUUAGCUAGUUGGUGGGGUAAAGGCCUACCAAGGCGACGAUCCGUAACUGGUCUGAGAGGAUGAUCAGUCACACGGGAACUGAGACACGGUCCAGACUCCUACGGGAGGACGCAGUCGGGAAUAUUGGGCGAUGGGCGAAUGCCUGAUACAGCAAUGCCGCGUGUGUGAAGAAGGUCUUCGGAUUGUAAAGCACUUUAAGUUGGGAGGAAGGGCAGUAAGUUAAUACCUUGCUGUUUUGACGGUACCAACAGAAUAAGCACCGGCUAACUUCGUG
rnacentral:rRNA from 1 species